UACGUAGGGGGCAAGCGUUGUCCGGAAUCAUUGGGCGUAAAGAGCGUGUAGGCGGCCAGGUAGGUCAGCUGUGAAAACUCGAGGCUCAACCUCGAGACGCCGGUUGAAACCAUCUGGCUAGAGUCCGGAAGAGGAGAGUGGAAUUCCUGGUGUAGCGGUGAAAUGCGCAGAUAUCAGGAAGAACACCCGUGGCUAAGGCGGCUCUCUAGUACGGUACUGACGCUGAGACGCGAAAGCGUGGGGAGCGAACAGG
rnacentral:rRNA from 1 species